GACGAACGCGGGCGGCGUGCUUAAUACAUGCAAGUAGAACGCUGAAGCUUGGUGCUUGCACCGAGCGGAUGAGUUGCGAACGGGUGAGUAACGCGUAGGUAACCUGCCUGGUAGCGGGGGAUAACUAUUGGAAACGAUAGCUAAUACCGCAUAAAAUGGAUUAUCGCAUGAUAAUCGAUUGAAAGGUGCAAAUGCAUCACUACCAGAUGGACCUGCGUUGUAUUAGCUAGUUGGUGGGGUAACGGCUCACCAAGGCGACGAUACAUAGCCGACCUGAGAGGGUGAUCGGCCACACCGGGACUGAGACACGGCCCAGACUCCUACGGGAGGCAGCCAGUAGGGAAUCUUCGGCAAUGGACGGAAGUCUGACCGAGCAACGCCGCGUGAGUGAAGAAGGUUUUCGGAUCGUAAAGCUUCUGUUGUAAGAGAAGAACGAGUGUGAGAGUGGAAAGUUCACACUGGACGGUCUACCAAAAGA
rnacentral:rRNA from 1 species